UACGAAGGGGGCUAGCGUUGCUCGGAAUUACUGGGCGUAAAGGGCGCGUAGGCGGAUAUUUAAGUUGGGGGUGAAAUCCCGGGGCUCAACCUCGGAAUUGCCUUCAAAACUGGAUAUCUUGAGUUCGGGAGAGGUGAGUGGAACUCCGAGUGUAGAGGUGAAAUUCGUAGAUAUUCGCAAGAACACCAGUGGCGAAGGCGGCUUACUGGUCCGGUUCUGACGCUGAGGCGCGAAAGCGUGGGGAGCAAACAGG
rnacentral:rRNA from 1 species